rnacentral:lncRNA from 1 species
CAUUACGGAAUCGUUUGAAUAUUUCAAAUAAUUUAUACUUAUAUCUCAUAAGGUAGACGUACCCAUACUUAGAUAGGUCAUCAGUAAACGUAAUGAAAUAGUAAUAUCCACCUCUGGCAUAAGUGUUCAUAAGUCACAUACAUCACUAUGUACUAGACCUAGAACUUCACUAGCUCACUCAUCUUUUUCAGUAAAAAAUGACUUAGUCAUCUUUUCAAGAAGAUAAGACUCAC